UUGAAUAUAAAAGAGAUAUUUACGAUUAAGUUCUGCUCAUUCUUGUCCAGAGUGAAUUUUGAAAAAGCGAUCCAUAGUUUAGUAAGACGUAUUCACGUCAAUAAUAUCGAAGGCAAAUUCAAGAUGUUUUUUACUAUUUAAGACAACCAAACUCUAUUGAGUUUCCUCUUUGUUUCGAAUUUUACCCACACUAAAGCAUACUUGAAUAGAAAAAAAAUCUGUGCUUCUGGCAUUUCAUAGCUCGUAAACUUACGAGCUUACUGGUUUACUAAUCAGCCACACCGGUUGUGACGAAUUGAGCUAAAUCCAUGCGACGGAAGGCUGCAGUCGAUAAACGAUUCUAGCCACAUUCCAAACCGCUACCGGGACGCUCCUUGUUCGUAUAUUUGCUGUGCACUACUUUGACCAUAUCGAUCAUAUCAUUUCCGAUCAGAUCAGAUCAGAUCACCCAGGCCAUGAGUUCAGUCAAAGUUUCGUUCGUGAUUCUGCUGUUAAUAGUGCUGUUGACAGUGUCAUCGCCAUCGACAGAAGUGGAAACCUUCAAGCAGGACAUUGAUUGUGACGAUGUGGCUCGAUAUUACAAGACGCUAGCGAAGCACUUCGAAACCCAGUGCAAAAACAGAUGCCCCGCAGAAAUACAGACGGCAGUGAACUGGUUCAACCGCGCACACAAUCAAAUGGCGAAAAGUUGCUAUUACGAUAUGUAUGGGGAUGAUUAAAUUUAUGCUGGACGUAUGAAAUGUUCCUGACAUAAUUUUGAUGCUUUGAGAAAAUUAAACGAAACGAAUAAAAUAGAGCAUAUGUAGAUGUAGAUAACGGGUGACCGACAACAAUCGUAUCUCUCAGAAGCACAUUCAACUUUGUAGUUGUGUGCAGUGCUAUACUUUGAUGGCAAACUUCUGAGUGAUUCAUUUAUUCCAAUGCAAUAGGCAUCAUAUAUUGGCCCUUAUUACCGUUCUCACUUCCACCUUCACAUUCACUUCACGUACAUGUCACUUCACUUGAUUUUUCCUAUUACCAGUAUCACGGAUAGUGAAGUGAUCAUUGUGGUAGAAAAAACUAAUUUUUUUCAACAAAAUGUUGGUGGCGUGAUGUUCAUAAUGACAUCAAGUCUAUACAAGUAAUUACUUUUGUCUCUUAAGCGACUUCUAUAAUAUAAGGACCUACAUUCACUUCACUUGAUUUCCACCGUGAAGUGAUACCCAUAAUAAGGGUCACAGUCACUUCAUUUUGUUUUCACCGUGUAGUGACACCGGUAAUAAGGGCCAUUGUGUCAAAUUAUCAAUUGAUAAGUAAAUAAUUUCAAUGUUACAAAACUACUUUAUGUAAAAAAGUCAUUUUCGUCAAUUUUUGUCAAAUAGUGAAAUUAGGUAAAAUUUAGUGUCGGUAAAAUCUUUUUUCAAAAAUCUUCACACUUCGUAGAUGCGGUGUCGUGUUUUUUUCCUCCGUACCUGCACUUUAUAUGAAGGUUUGAAAUUUUUGACACUCAUAACCCUGGAACUUUGGAACCGGAAAUCGGAUUCAUUCGAAACUAAUUUUGCGAACAUAGGUCAAGCCAUCGCUGAGCAAAGUGAGUUCGAUAUUAGAGUUUGUAAACAAUAUUCCCGUUGUUAAUUUCGAGAGCUUUGUAUGGGGC